UAGCGGCGGACGGGUGAGUAACGCGUGGGAACAUACCCUUUGGUACGGAAUAACAGCUGGAAACGGCUGCUAAUACCGUAUGUCCCCUGAGGGGGAAAGAUUUAUCGCCCUUGGAUUGUCCCGCGUCCGAUUAGCUUGUUGGUGAGGUAAUGGCUCACCAAGGCGACGAUCGGUAGCUGGUCUGAGAGGAUGAUCAGCCACACUGGGACUGAGACACGGCCCAGACUCC
rnacentral:rRNA from 1 species